rnacentral:rRNA from 1 species
GACGAACGCUGGCGGCGUGCUUAACACAUGCAAGUCGAACGCUGAAGCUCAGCUUUUGUUGGGUGGAUGAGUGGCGAACGGGUGAGUAACACGUGAGUAACCUGCCCCCUUCUUUGGGAUAACGCCCGGAAACGGGUGCUAAUACUGGAUAUUCACUGGUCUUCGCAUGGGGGUUGGUGGAAAGGGUUUUUCUGGUGGGGGAUGGGCUCGCGGCCUAUCAGCUUGUUGGUGGGGUGAUGGCCUAACAAGGCUUUGACGGCUAGCCGGCCUGAGAGGGUGAACGGUCACAGUGACACUGAGCUAAGGCCCAGACUCGUCAGGGGGGCGGCAGUGGGGACUAUUGCACAAUGGGUGACAGACUGAUGCAGCGUGGCUGCGUGAGGUCUGGGGGUCUUCGGGCUGUGAAACUCUUUAGCUAAUGAUGAAGCCGCAACAAUGGUUGUGGUGACGGUAGUGGGUAAAGAAGCGCCGGCUAACUACGUG